GAAAUGCGAUAAGUAGUGUGAAUUGCAGAAUUCAGUGAAUCAUCGAAUCUUUGAACGCACAUUGCGCCCUUUGGUAUUCCUUAGGGCAUGCCUGUUCGAGCGUCAUCUAAACCUUCAAGCCCUGCUUGGUGUUGGGUGCCUGUCCCGCCUCCGCGCGCGGACUCACCUCAAAUCCAUUGGCGGCCCCCGCGUCGGCCACGAGCGCAGCAGAAACGCGAACUCUUGAGCCCGCCCGGGCGGCUCCCAGAAGCUACACCCACCCAGUUUGACCUCGGAUCAGGUAGGGAUACCCGCUGAACUUAAGC
rnacentral:misc_RNA from 1 species